rnacentral:rRNA from 1 species
UCUGGGAAGAAAGUUGUGAAAGCAACCUGACGGUACCAGAGGAAUCAGCAUCGGCUAACUCCGUGCCAGCAGCCGCGGUAAGACGGAGGAUGCAAGCGUUAUCCGGAAUGAUUGGGCGUAAAGCGUCCGCAGGUGGCAGUUCAAGUCUGCUGUCAAAGACCGGGGCUUAACUUCGGAAAGGCAGUGGAAACUGAACAGCUAGAGUAUGGUAGGGGCAGAGGGAAUUCCUGGUGUAGCGGUGAAAUGCGUAGAGAUCAG